CCUACGGGAGGCAGCAGUGAGGAAUAUUGGUCAAUGGGCGCGAGCCUGACCCAGCCAAGUAGCGUGAAGGAUGACUGCCCUACGGGUUGUAAAUUUCUUUUAUAAAGGAAUAUAGUGAGGCACGUGUGCCUUUUUGUCUGUACUUUAUGAAUAAGGAUCGGCUAACUCCGUGCCAGCAGCCGCGGUAAUACGGAGGAUCCGAGCGUUAUCCGGAUUUAUUGGGUUUAAAGGGAGCGUAGAUGGGUUGUUAAGUCAGUUGUGAAAGUUUGCGGCUCAACCGUAAAAUUGCAAUUGAUACUGGCAGUCUUGAGUACAGUUGAGGUAGGCGGAAUUCGUGGUGUAGCGGUGAAAUGCGUAGAUAUCACGAGGAACACCGAUUGCGAAGGCAGCUUACUAAACUGCCACUGACAUUGAUGCGCGAAAGUGUGGGUAUCAAACAGGAUUAGAUACCCCGGUAGUC
rnacentral:rRNA from 1 species